rnacentral:rRNA from 1 species
UACAGAGGGUGCAAGCGUUGUUCGGAAUUAUUGGGCGUAAAGGGCGCGUAGGCGGUGCCACAAGUCACCUGUGAAAUCUCCGGGCUUAACUCGGAGCCUGCAGGCGAAACUGUGGUGCUGGAGUGUGGGAGAGGUGCGUGGAAUUCCCGGUGUAGCGGUGAAAUGCGUAGAUAUCUGGAGGAACACCGGUGGCGAAGGCGGCAUCCUGGACCGGCAUUGACGCUGAGUGAGCGAAAGCCAGGGGAGCAAACGGG